GACGAACGCUGGCGGCGUGCUUAACACAUGCAAGUCGAGCGGUAAGGCUCCUUCGGGAGUACACGAGCGGCGAACGGGUGAGUAACACGUGAGUAAUCUGCCCUUCACUUCGGGAUAACCACCGGAAACGGUGGCUAAUACCGAAUACGACCAGUCUUCGCAUGAGGUGCUGGUGGAAAGUCUUUUCGGUGAAGGAUGUGCUCGCGGCCUAUCAGCUUGUUGGUGGGGUAAUGGCCUACCAAGGCUUCGACGGGUAGCCGGCCUGAGAGGGUGACCGGCCACACUGGGACUGAGACACGGCCCAGACUCCUACGGGAGGCAGCAGUGGGAAAUAUUGGACAAUGGGCGAAAGCCUGAUCCAGCAACGCCGCGUGAGGGAUGACGGCCUUCGGGUUGUAAACCUCUUUCAGUACCGACGAAGCGCCCUGUCGGGUGGUGACGGUAGGUACAGAAGAAGGACCGGCCAACUACGUG
rnacentral:rRNA from 1 species